UACGUAGGGGGCUAGCGUUGUCCGGAAUCAUUGGGCGUAAAGAGCGUGUAGGCGGCUUGGUAAGUCCGCUGUGAAAGUCCAGGGCUCAACCCUGGAAAGCCAGUGGAAACUGUCAAGCUAGAGUCCGGAAGAGGCGAGUGGAAUUCCUGGUGUAGCGGUGAAAUGCGCAGAUAUCGGGAAGAACACCCGUGGCGAAGGCGGCUCUCUGGGACGGUACUGACGCUGAGACGCGAAAGCGUGGGGAGCGAACAGG
rnacentral:rRNA from 1 species